CCUACGGGUGGCAGCAGUGAGGAAUAUUGGUCAAUGGACGAGAGUCUGAACCAGCCAAGUAGCGUGAAGGAUGACUGCCCUAUGGGUUGUAAACUUCUUUUAUAAAGGAAUAAAACGAGGCAUGCAUGCCUUUUUGUAUGUACUUUAUGAAUAAGGAUCGGCUAACUCCGUGCCAGCAGCCGCGGUAAUACGGAGGAUCCGAGCGUUAUCCGGAUUUAUUGGGUUUAAAGGGAGCGUAGAUGGGUUGUUAAGUCAGUUGUGAAAGUUUGCGGCUCAACCGUAAAAUUGCAAUUGAUACUGGCAGUCUUGAGUACAGUUGAGGUAAGCGGAAUUCGUGGUGUAGCGGUGAAAUGCUUAGAUAUCACGAAGAACCCCGAUUGCGAAGGCAGCUUACUAAACUGUGACUGACAUUGAUGCUCGAAAGUGUGGGUAUCAAACAGGAUUAGAUACCCUGGUAGUC
rnacentral:rRNA from 1 species